UGGUGAUGUCUCCAUAGGACACAGAGCCAUCAGAAGGCCAGUACUGGGCACAUUUCUCCUGAGAAAGCAUGAGAGGUGACGAGUUUUUUUGUUGCUACAGAGUGGCGAAAACGUGAAACGACCAAAACAUCAGAAGCCUCUUUGGACCCCGGAGAACACCCGCUUUUAGGAUGUCAUAAUUCAGGAAUCCCUUAUUUGAGUCAGUUCAAAUUUUGUAGAAAAAUUUUACCCUGGGCCCAGACCUAAUCUACCAGUUUUAACGAUGAUGUAGCUUUUACUGUGGAUUUUAAGGAGAGGAGCAAAACCAGGCCUACACUGCAAUCUACAGUAUAGGUUGACAACUGCUGUUCCACAACCAAGAAACAUUCCUCCUUCUGACA